UGACUUCCUGGAGAAACCAUAAGAGGGGAGGACCCUGGAAAUCCCAGAGAGAUGAGAGAUGCCUUCCAUAAAAAUCAAUAAAGCUCUCUUGGAUACAAAAUCUCAUAUGGGAGAGAGAAGAUGCAAGUGAUAAUAACAAAGAAGAC